rnacentral:rRNA from 1 species
AUGACCAAAGUACCGAGCCGAACCGAGACCGAACCUAAUGAUGAUGAUGACGCUCAUCAUGCUUCAGAUGAUGAAUGCACUUCUAAGCCUCCAAAUUCUAAAAUCCGAAAUCUAGUCUCAUUUCAAUCUUUGAGCUACACUGAUGCUGCAUUGUCUUCAUCGACCAGUGACCUCCUUUUUGCUAAGCUCAUGGCCCAGUAUUGUAUUUUUGUUUUGCUCUUACAUUUGUUCUCAGUCUUAAAACAAUUGAUUCUUUUGCACGCACCACUUGGUAGCCUGAAAGCAAGGAAAUGGAGGAGCUUCUGA